AGAACGAUGGAGUAAUAAGUAUUCAAUAUCUCAACACACUGCCCAGUUAGAUAAAUUAAAUUUGAUUUUGAUAAAACUAAGGCUUCAUAUGCAAACAAACAUAGGAAGUCCAAAUUUUGGUUUUAAACCGGCCAUGUCUCUGUUGGGUUCCCAAUUAUGGCACAAAAGACAAAAGUGCAUUUUUGAACUUCCUUACACCUUCAAAACCCUAAAACGCUUCUGCCUUUGCCAACACUGUUGCUGUGAUUUCGCAAAUCUGAGAUGCCUCCUAAAGGAAAAGGAAAUAGGAAGAAGAAAGGGAAAGGUAAAGGGAAUUCCAAAGAAACAAAGUGCAAAGCAACUUCCGACUUGUAUUUCCCAAAAGAAGUCGUCUUUGAUAUCCUCUCUCGUCUCCCUGUGAAGGACCUUUUACAAUUCAGGUGUGUUUGCAAGCAAUGGAACAAGCUCAUUUACAAGCCCAACUUCAUAGCUGCCCAUUUCCGCCGCUCUUCUUCUUUGCAGCGUUCCUGUUCGUCCCUUAUUAUAGGCAGCCGCCAUCAAGAGUCCAAUAAUCAUGUACUCUCACUAUACAACCCGCCUGAUUCACUUGUCGAGCUGGACAGCCCCUUUCCUUGCUUCUUUCCCAAUAUGUACAUUGUGGGUCCUACCAAUGGCAUUGUGUGUCUCUUUAAUCCACCUUGGGGUGAAUUGAUUACCCUUUGGAACCCGGCAAUGAAGCAGUAUAAGAUGGUGCAGCUUUCUGAAAGUUUACCCAUUCAGGGACUGCACUCUUUGGCGUCGGUUGGAGUGGCUUUUAAUUACCAACAAAAUGAUUUGUUGGUCUUGAGAAUCUUUUGUGUCGAGCUACUGUCUCCAGUCCCGAACCACAUUGAAAUGUAUUCUACCAAGACUGGCAGAUGGAAGAAGCUGAAAAAUGAGAUGGUUUUUUAUAUUGGUGAGUUUCUUUGCAAUGCAAUUGUUAAAGGGGUGCCUUAUUGGUUUGUUUGUAUGCCUGAUAAAUUUGGAGUGCGAGCUGUGUUUAUGCGCUUUGAUGUGGGAAAAACAGUAUUUGAGAAGUUACCAUCUAUAGGGCCGCGUAGACAGCAUCAAUUUCUUGUGGACUUGGAGAAUUCUCUUUGUAUGUUAGAUUGGGAUCACAAAGACGAUUGCCGUAUAGAUGUUUGGGUACUAGAUGAUGUAGAUCGUUGGAGUAUGAAAUACAGUGUUGGACCGUUAAUCGGGUUUGAUCGAAUCUUGGGUUGUUUGAGGAAUGGUGACAUUGUAGCUAAGAAUGAUAAAGGAGUGGUAUUCUUGUGUGAUCCCAUAACUAGUUCAAUCAAGGAAAAAUUCAGCCUUGAUACUUCUAAGGUUGGAUCACAUGUGAUUGUUGACUAUUCAGAGAGCCUAUUUCUGUUCGCAGGGAUGCUGCCAGUUAAGAAGCAAGAUGCUCAAGAUAAAUUGGCACGCAAAAAAAUCACAAGGGCUUGCUUAAAGUUCUUGAUGGGACAACCCUCAGAAAUCGUCAUACCCUGAUUGCCACUUUUUAGCUAACCUCAGAGAUGCCACGAAAAACUUUUUGAUGUCUUUUUAGUUGGAAGAUAGCAUGUAUGUAGCUUUUUGGUGAAUUCAUGCUUGCGGCCCCAAUGAGUAGGAGGGCGCGGCGGUCGCUGCAAAACCUUGGGCGCGAGCCCGGGCAGAGCGGUUCUUCAAAAAAAAAAAAGUUGAUCGUCUUCUUCAAUCUCUGGCCAAUUCUUUACAGCAAACAAAAGAUGGCGCCAAAAGGAAAAGGAAAGAAGAAAGGGAAAGGAAACUCCAAGACAACAGACAACAGAGCUCAAGAACCAACACCCAACUGCAUUUUUAAGCCUGAAAUCAUCUCUAACAUCCUCUCUUGGCUUCCUCUGAAGACCCUUUUACAAUUCAGGUCUGUUUGCAAGCAAUGGAACAAGCUCAUUUCUAAGCCUCAUUUCAUCGCCACCCAUUACAUCCAUUCCUCUUCUUUGCAGCGCACUGAUUCAUCCACGAUUAUUAUACAGUCCCGACAUGAUGGAAAGUUCAAUCAUAAUGUACUCGUACAGUACAAACCCCCUCUACCACCUAUGGAAGUGAAAAAUCCUUACCCUAUCAUCUUACCCAAAAUGUCCAUUGCCGGUCCUGUCAAUGCAUUCUCUGCAUUUUUCAGCCACCUGUGGGCGAUGCGCUUACACUUUGGAAUCCAUCAAUGAACAAGUCUAAGAUGGUCAUGCUUUCUAAAACUACCAACCCCUCUCAGAAAGUAUCGGUUGGAUUGGCGUUUGAUUCACAGAAAAAGGAUUUGUUGAUCUUGAAAAUCUUUUGUGUCCCCCCAUUUCCAGGAUGUACCAAAACCAAAGUGGAAUUCGAAAUACGUGAAAUGAAGUAUCCUUUAGGAUGGGAGACGCUGAAAAGUAGAACAAACUAUUUUUAUAUUGACAGGCCUUCUUGUGAUGCGAUCUUUAAAGCAGAGCCUUAUUGGUUGGCUUAUGAUUAUGAAGAGUAUAUUCCCGGAAAGUAUGAGAGGUUGGUGCGCUUUAAAGUGAGUAAAAUGGAUUUUGAUGAAUGGUUGCUACUGCCAUUUGUCGGAGUAGGGGAUUAUUAUACGAAUCUGGCGAAUUUUGAGGAUUCUCUUGGUUUUUUGAUCCGGGAGAAAACAGACAAUUCCUAUAUUGAUGUUUGGGAAGUGGAUGAUAAAAAAUUUCAAUGGAGGAAGAAAUGUAAGCUACGACCAUUAUCCGGGUUUGGCAGAAUUUUGGGCUGUUUGAGGAAUGGUGAAAUUAUAGCCGAGAAUGAAGACGGUGUGUUGUUGUUUUACACAGUGAAUAAAUCAGAAUUGGUAGUUCAGAAUGAUGAGAACCUUUAUCCUUGCUCAGUUAAGAACACAUUAACAAUGGGGAAUUCUGAGAAAGGAUCACAUGUGAUUUCUUACUGCCCAGAGGUACUACUUUUGAUCGAAGGGAUGGUCACAGUUGAUCCGCAAGAUGUCUUGAAAUGGCAAAGUCUGUUAAGUUAUUCAUUUGAAGACAUCGUGGAUGGUAGAGCUACUCCUUGAAUGCGCCCUAUUUCCUCCCUCCUUACUGAUGACUGGAUGUUGUUCGCAAAGAAACAAGCUUUCUUGCAUGACUUUAGCACGAGCGAAGACUUCAUGAGGGCGCUGUGACAACUCUCAGUAUUCGCUUCAUAACAUCCGUCUUUUGUUCUCUUUUCGAGUAAUUUCUGACCUUCUACUUGUUUGCACAUGUGAAUUCUCUGGUCUGACUAUGAUCAAAGACAUUUUGUUCAUAUGAAUCAUGUAAGCAAUUGUUGUAUCAAACAUCUAGAACUUGCCAAGUUUACAGCUGUGAAAUUGUAAUUGUAGUCCUAAGGAGCAGUCAGUAAGAAGUUUACACUGAUGCUUUGCAACUUGUGAUCAAUAAGUUUGAGUCCUUAAACUGCUGUUA